rnacentral:pre_miRNA from 15 species
AUUGUUCCGAUCGCCGCUCUUUUCACACACCUCACUAACACUGACCACCGAUGCAUAGAUGUUAGUAGGCGUUGUGGGAAGGGCGGCGACAGUGAACGUC